rnacentral:lncRNA from 1 species
UCUAAGGCAGAUGGCACUGUUGGUUACAACAGCUGCAACUGAAAAUCCAGGAGAAACAGGGGUAGCUGACAAAUAUUUAAAGAUUGCUACCAGCUGUUGAGCCCAAACGAUAUCUCCUUCUCUACCAAGGAGAGAAAGCUUUGCGCAGGGACUCCUUUACCUUCUCUUCAUCAUUUCAUGGCAAAGAUGCUAUUUAGACACUGCUAGAAGGACCAAACUCCUGAAUGUCAGCAGUGUGUUAUCCUGCAGCAAGAUCCUUAAGUCCUGAUGGAUUUGCAGCCUCCUCUCAAUUUCUUUUCUAAAGCAGCUAAAGGUGAUGACUAAAUAUGUCGUUGAAUUCGUCCAUGUGAAUCCUAAUAAGUACAUCAGAGCACAAAGGGAUAUCCGAGGACAGUGCUGGUCACUGGCAAGAGUGAGGCAGGUACUGCAGUGUGCCAAGGGACAGGCUGUGCGAUGCUGCCUGCUAGGGCAGCAAACUUCGAUCUGUGUUGUCUUCCUCUGUACCUGAUCACAGCAAGUGAAGGAGAGCGUGGGGUACCAAGCCCGGGUGGGCUGUACCUACCUGGUGGUCACCUGCCACUGCCAUUACUGCCUGCCCGC